UGGGGAAUUUUGGACAAUGGGCGAAAGCCUGAUCCAGCAAUGCCGCGUGUGUGAAGAAGGCCUUCGGGUUGUAAAGCACUUUUGUCCGGAAAGAAAUCCUUGGCUCUAAUACAGUCGGGGGAUGACGGUACCGGAAGAAUGAGCACCGGCUAACUACGUGCCAGCAGCCGCGGUAAUACGUAGGGUGCAAGCGUUAAUCGGAAUUACUGGGCGUAAAGCGUGCGCAGGCGGUUUGCUAAGACCGAUGUGAAAUCCCCGGGCUCAACCUGGGAACUGCAUUGGUGACUGGCAGGCUAGAGUAUGGCAGAGGGGGGUAGAAUUCCACGUGUAGCAGUGAAAUGCGUAGAGAUGUGGAGGAAUACCGAUGGCGAAGGCAGCCCCCUGGGCCAAUACUGACGCUCAUGCACGAAAGCGUGGGGAGCAAACAGGAUUAGAUACCCUGGUAGUCCACGCCCUAAAACGAUGUCAACUAGUUGUUGGGGAUUCAUUUCCUUAGUAACGUAGCUAACGCGUGAAGUUGACCGCCUGGGGAGUACGGUCGCAAGAUUAAAACUCAAAUGAAUUG
rnacentral:rRNA from 1 species